rnacentral:lncRNA from 13 species
AUGCAAAGCAAGGUCUGGAUGCCUCUGGGGCCCAUGCAUUUAACUAUGAUGUCAUAUUGCCUUAGAAUACUAAAUCAGGCUGGAAGUGCCGAGAAUUCGGAGCUUCUGAAUUUCAGACUGGUCCACACUUGUCUCACCUGGCUAUUCAAAAAAUCAGCUAAGAAGCAGAAUUUUGGAUCUAGAUCAGCAGAGGCUGAACCAAGGCAGCAUGUUCAGAUGCAGGGAGAAGAUGUGGAAACAACUUUUAAGCACCUUCUGCUGUCCAUUGUCCUUCAGAAAAGACACUGCCUUGAAGGGACUUCCACAACAGUUUUUCUUCUAGAACAAGUGAGCAGUGAAAGGAUGAGAGGUGAAGAACAGAGCACAACACUUCUCAUAAAGAGCCACCUCUGCAAACCAACUGUAGCCAGCCAGCAGUUUGUGAACUCCUGUGUCCAAUGGAUGUUUCUGUGUUGAGGCCAUCUGACAUAGGACUUUUAGCUUUGUUGACAGUUGCUCCAGAAUCAAGAAGUGGGGGAUGAGUGAUUAACUGGUAAUCUACAAUGAUCUCAACAAUAAUAUUUGUGAUAUCAGUUCUGAAUCAAGAGAGUAGAAUGAGCUACAAACUUCCCAUCAGUCUCAGGACUUCAUGGAAAUCCUAGUGAGUUUAAGAUCUAUAAAAGAACCCGAGAAAUGGAUUUCAUUAACAAAUAAGAUAAUUGGAGAGUGUUAACAUCUGAACAGCGAUUCCAACAAAGUUUUGAAAUACAGAAAGAGGAUAAAAACCUAUUGAUAUAUGAAAUGGAGCAGAGCAAAGUGCAGAUGUGAAAAUCACUGAGAGCGGAGCGGACUGCAGUGGAGAUGGAGGAGAAAGUCAGUAUUCUCACUGGAGUCACCAACUGAAGUUGACAAAGGAGGCAGAAUGCAGACCUGAGAAGUCGAGCAAAUGAGAGGAUUAUCCAGAGAUCUGUGAACCAAAUCGCUGCCCAUUGCCUCUCAUCCCUCUUCCCCUACACCAGCAAGUGAAAUCUCCUUAAUAAAGUGGCUGAAUUGCUCCGACUGUUAUUGGGG